rnacentral:misc_RNA from 1 species
AUGGAUGGCCGGAGUGUUAACCACUCCACCAAUCCGCCCAAUAACACUAGCUUUUAACGUGUACGCACGACUAAGAAUUAGUUGACGUGGCUAUUUGAAAACAAGGAAGUGUUAAGUAGUAGUGGCCGGAAGUUUUGGGUCCUACAAUAUUUAGUUAUCGUCACAGCUCUGAUGACCACUCUAUUAAAGUUUAUAAGAUGUGUACAACACUUCCGGCUGUAUAGCAGAGACGAUGGGGUGCGGACAGGAGGCGAUGUGGUUUAUACUCGUUUUAUUUCCAAUACAAGUGACCGGCAUUGGAGGGACAUGUACAGCCACCCUGAACAACUUCGUCCCUUAUGAAGAAAAAACUAAAGCGACUCUUACCUGUACCAUUGACCAGUGUCAAAACUAUACCGGUGCUUAUCCACACCCAGUGACGUGGUUCAAGUCCAACUCGGAUGUAACCGCUGGUGUGACGUCAACAGAGCUCCCCAACAACGGCAGUCGGAGCACCCUGGUGAUGACCUUACAAAGGUCAGACAACACCAAGGUGAUAAAAUGCAGCUCACCUGCCGCCGAGUCGGUUUCAAAAACAUUAAAUGUGACGUAUGGACCGAGAUCCGUGUCUUUGUCGCCCAGCACUUCCGUCUACGAGCGGACGGAGGGUAUAGACGAGAUGCCCGUGAUCAGUUGUAGUGCCGACUGCAACCCUCCGUGUAAAUAUAAAUGGGGGAGAACUACUUCCCCAGUUCUCGACUUGGGUAUAACUGGACGCCAAGAGGCAGGCACACACACAUGUCAAGCCUAUAACAAGAUAGGGACCGCUUCCGCGUCCAUCAACGUCAAAGUCAGAUAUCCCCCUGACAUAGUGGAGAACGGGGGAAAAGGGGCAGAGGAAGGGGAGGAAUACUGGUCAAGAUGCAUUGCUAGAGGGAUUCCGGCCAACUACACAUAUCAUGAAUGGUACCAAGUGUAUGAAGAUGGUGGACCGAGAGUCCAGACCGGAAACUUGACCAGUACAGGAUGGAUGCACGUGUCUGACCUUUCCUAUAUGCAUAACGGAAUGUAUUACUGCUCCGUAUCGAAUGGCGUCGCGACCCCUGAAGGUCAGGCUAUCACCACGGGGCCCAUGGGGGCACUUAGGGUCAAUGGUCCCCCUCAUGAUCUCCAGUCUCUCUACACAAAGACGGGAAUCUUAGGUUCAACUGUUAUGUUCCUCGCAGACUUCUUCCAGUUUUCUCAAGGUCAGAUCACAGUCAUGUGGUACAACGUGACCUCAGGAGAGGUCGUAACCCCAAGGCGAGGCAACAUCACGUUGGAAACCAUCUCUUCUUACAAAACAAAGUUCUAUUCAACUGACGUCACCACAUCCGGUUAUCGUAUCGUGGCAACCAUCAGUGAGAUCACUGCCUGGGAUUUCGGCUACUACGUUGUACAUUUGGAGAGCGUGGGACAGAAAAGGGUGGUACACCUGCGAGUCGAUAGAGAGGGAGAAACGGCAAGUGUGACAUUGAAUGGAUGGCUCGUUUCCACUAUAAUAUUGCUGCUAGUGUUGGCGGGGUGUGUACUGAUCGUUGUGUGGGUCUACAGGCGAGGUGUCUUGCCGAGAUGUGGAAAGGAAAAAGAAAAAGAUACAUCAAGUGGAGUCGGGGAUACCGAUGUCCAAAAUUACAGCGAUUCUCCAACGAUCGAUGCGGUGACGUAUGAUCCAAGUGUCUACACAUCUCUCCAAAUACGGCAAGGGGUGGUACCAGAAAAUCCCUAUGGUAACGUACAAAGCGAGCCCGAACAUACCUACGAGUGUUUAAAAGCCAAAGGAAAUAUUGGUCACAGAUCACCUGAAGCUGCACCCGCAGAAGAACAGGAAUUACCUUCCGCCACAGACACUAGCCUAUAUCAGAAUGUGAAUGUUACAAUGGAAAAUCAAAAAAAAAUACGUAAACCGCCCAAGCCCCAUUCCAAACCGAAACUGCAGCUACCAAAGAAAUCUAAGAACAAACAAAAUACUGAAGGUGAGUGUACGUUAUGUACAUUUACUGCGAGACUGGCUCCGCUUCUACCUUUAUUUCAUAUGGGUGGAACUAUCUUUGUGUUUGAUAACGUUUUAUCAUAAUUUUGUUGUUAAGUUUUCGCAUUGAACAUGAUUUCCGUAUGGGAUGACGUCGUGUUUGUCAUGACACCACUACAAGAACAUUUCUAGAGAUCGUAAAUGUAUUCUCUCACACUGUUAAGAAUCUUUUGUUUUGUCUAAGAAAACCUGUUUGAUCUCAACUUUACGUGAAACUUGCCGCCUUAGCGAGAAAAUGAGAGGAAGGUACGAAAUAAAGGAAAUCUAACCAACAAGAGGAGCGGUCGGAAAACUUGAAAUACUGAAAUAGCAGUAUGAAAAAACACUGAAAAAAACACUGAACACUGAAAACACUGAAAAAUUAACAAAUUUUAUAGAAAUAUAGGGUUUUCUACAGGAAAUCGGCUUUCAAAUGAUUUUUGUCUUCCAAAGUCUCCUUUGGACUAAAUUGACAUAUAACGAUCUAAGGUCAUUCUGAUUAUUGCCCUUUGCAGUUCAAUCAUGCAAAGACAGAAUUUUCCUACAGUUCUCUUGAUAGAAAACCAAACCUUAAUGAUAACAUUAAAUAUCUGCGAUUCAUUUUACACUAGCCUGUUUUCACGGCUCUUCGGUAGCUCGGAAUUUAUUAUCCUUGAACUCUCUCUUUCUCGAUAUUAACAUCCCUACUUCCGGACUUACGGUGUUUAAAUAUCGCAGUUGAUUCGGUAUUUAAGUGCUUGUUCCGAAUAUAAUGAUUUUCGAUGAUAUAUAUCGACUGCUGACGGUUCACCUGAUCUGAUUCCCUUGUACUUGUUCAAGGGUCUUUAUGUUAAUCUUUCAUUUAUUCAUCAUUGGUGCCGCUUGUUCUCGAUUUUUAGUUCGAAUUCAAUUUUGUUGACAGUUACAUUUUUUUUUCUAUUUGCCUUUUUUCAUAAAAAAACAUUGAUAACAUUAGAUAUGUCAAAUUCAAACAUUCUACCAUACUUCAGAUAUUAAGAAUUUUGAUGACAUUAGAAUAACAUAUAAUAAAUACCGAAGUGUCAGCAUAACCAAAAUUGAUAAAUCUAGGGCAAAAUAUGAAAAAAGAAAAUAUUUAUACAGAAACCCUUGAGAACAAGAAGACCAUGUUUUCCGGAAGGUCAAUCGUCUUCUGCUUCUUCGAUGACACCAGCAAUGUAAAUUUAAGUCGAAUCCAAGUUAUGCCAAGCCUUCACAUCGAGAAUGAGAGGUUUUUAGGAAGGGUCCAUUUGUAUAGAUUAUCACCCGCUUUCAAUUUAAGGAUAACAUAUGAUGGAUUCUGUGACAGACUUGGCUAGAUUAUGGGCAAAAGGAGGACACACGAAGCAUGGAAUAGUUACUUUAAGAGUCAUUCAAACGGAGCCUUUAAAGAAACUGAAAAUAUGUGACAUAUUCAGAAGAGAUGGGACAGGAACAGUAAGGAUUUUAGCUGAAUUUCA